AUUUGAAGUUGGAGUAACAAGCUGCUUUGGAGGUAGAGGGGGACAAAGAAAUGCUAGAAAAAAGUCAGCAUCUCAAACUGAGAGAUAUGAAGGUGGCUUCAAACAUUCCCUUUCCCCCAAAAUAAAAUCUGUUUCUUGGAAGAUUAGCAGCUAAAAUUUCAGCUGUGCUACCAGACACCUGGUUCUCCAAAACUGUUAGAAUUCUCCAGGAGGAAGAGGGUUGCUCCUGAGAGAUGCUGAGCAUACUCUACUCCCACUGAAGUCAGCUCUCCGGAUCAGGUCAUCAGUGAACAGAAACUGUCAGAUCAAAAAGAAACACCCAGAAACAAAAUGUGAUAAUGUCAAGGAACGAUGUGAUAAGGGAUGAAAGAUCUGAACUAUGGUGGGUCAGAGGAAGGUGUCUCUCAUUGUUCACAGAAAAAUUACUAUAAGCCAGGAUGUGCAUGUGCUAGUGUCUGUGAGAACACAGGAAACCUAGAGGAACAAGGGAAUUCUUAUAUUACUUAACUGAAUCUUGUAGUUUUGCCAUUAGCCAGGAAAAAAACAACUAUUCAACUAAAUCCAAUAAAGAG